CGGGAGAGUAUUUUUUCAGUUAGCUCCUGAGUCAGUGUCGCUCUGCAUUCCUGCUCUUCUGAGGACCCCGAUUUAAAGGAAUGGUCUGCAACCCCAAAACCGCCCUCCUGCUCUUCGUGGCAACAACAUACGCAAUCGGAGCUGUGACGUCACAACCAAUCUGGCCCUCACAAGACGUUCUCGACAACCAGGACAACGGCCACGCAACGGUUCCCAUGUCACUCUGGCACCUCCCGUUGUUCUACCCAGAUCCCCUGGUAAGGAGCAACAACAACGUCCUGAAGAGGAACUCUGAAAUCCUGAACACCCUCCUGGGAUCGGGGGCCCUCAGCAACAUGAAGAACAACGGUAGGAGACGAUAAGUCAUCUCGGGGAUAUGACCAACCAGACUGGCCUUUUAUUUCCCACAACCGCUUCGCUAUAGUCAGCAGGCCUUAGAAAAAUAAAAACCAUGAAAAGGGGAACUUUGAAUAUCAUUCGCACAACAACAACGACAGCCGCAGCAGUGAUAAGAAAAUAAAUGUACUAUUACUUUUUACCAUUAUUCGAGCCGACAGCAACGACGUUAAUAGCAAAAAACACCAGCCACAAAAAUAAUAAAAUACUCUUUUAAUGCGCAUUAUUUCUUACCACAACCACAUACGCCAUUUCUUCCUCUAUUCUAAAUAUCCGUUUCAGUACAAGUAAUAUAAUGGCCUAUUCACACCA